UAGUAAAUAAUAAUUAUAUAUUUUUAUGUAUACGAUUAUUUUUAAUAAUUUUAUAUGUAUAUAAAAAUAUUUUGGAAAGAAUUCACAAAAUAAAAACAUUAACUUAUAUUUCAAUAGCAUUUUACUCACUUUGGGCUAUGAUUACCAUUCUAAUUCUACAAAAAUAAAAGAGCCCAAACCCUCAAUUUUCUAAUUAAGUAAACUUCUCUCAAAAACCCUCAUACUGCUUCUCCUUAUUACUCCCUUUCCCUUGCUUCCCUGCCUCAUUCACGAAACACACAAAAAAAAAAAAAAAAAAAAAAAAAACUCACCUGCGCUGCUGCUCCACCGCUGCCCAGCCUACUGCUCCACCACUGCCCAGCUUGCUGCCGCCGCCUGCCCUCAGUCGCAGUCCACCACCGCAGCACCGUCGGGCACCAGCCGGAGAGGACUUCAUAGAAGGUGACUUCUAGCCUUAAAGUGGCCAACCAAUUUGUGUACUCAAGAUUUAUCACAGGUUUUUGCAUAAACUGACUUGCAUCAGGGUGAUGGGAUUUGAGUGGAGCGUUGGUUAAUCACUUAGCCUAUUUCAUAUCAUAGAUUGAAUUUUAUUUUGGUUCUAAUUCCAUUUACUUCCUAUUUUACUGGAUUUUGAAUAAGGGCCGUUAAGGUUCCAACUUGUAAGACUAAAUUGAGUUUUGACUUCUAGUUUUGAAACUUAUGUUUUUUUUAAAGCUAAGUUAGUUUUCCGCUGCCGAUCUAUAAAACUAGCCUUAACGUUUGAACACGUGGCGGUAACACGCCAGUAAUUCUCUCACAAGUUAUUAAAAGUAUUUACAGGUGAUUACAGGUUAUUAUAGGUUAUUACAGGUUUUAAAGAGAGAAUUAUUGGGGUGUUACAAUGACAUUUCCCAAAUAUGUAUAUAACAAGAAUCUAAUAUAUCGUAUCACUAAUAAAUAAAGUCGGUUACGCAGCCAGGUCACGAGACAGCGACAAUUGGCAUUCUAGAUUUUCGCCUAGUGUCGAGCCACGUAAGCGACAAAUAGAUAUUAUUGUGAUUAGAUUAGAUGCCACGUUAGAUUAGAUUAGAUUAGAUAGAGUUGUUUAGGAUAAAAAAGUACAUACACAUAAAAUAAUUUAUAAUUCUUUUGAAAAAAAAAUUAUCUUUUUAUUGACAAUAAAAUUUUACUUAUAGCAACACACCACAUAUUAUAAUUAAUGUCCAAUUAAAAAUAGAAUUUAACUCCUAUACGAAUAACCACGUAGUAUAAUUAUAAAAAUGGCCAUGUAUCAUUAAUUUUUUUUUAGU